ensembl:snRNA U6 U6 spliceosomal RNA
GUGCUCACUUUGGCAGCACAUAUACUGAAACUGGAACAAGACAGAGAAUAUUAGCAUGGCCCCUAUAAAAGAAU